GCUCAGGAUGAACGCUAGCUACAGGCUUAACACAUGCAAGUCGAGGGGCAGCAUUGGAGUAGCAAUACUUCAGAUGGCGACCGGCGCACGGGUGAGUAACACGUAUCCAACCUGCCGCUUACUCGGGGAUAGCCUUUCGAAAGAAAGAUUAAUACCCGAUGGUAUAAAGAGUUCGCAUGUUCUCUUUAUUAAAGAAUUUCGGUAAGCGAUGGGGAUGCGUUCCAUUAGAUAGUUGGCGGGGUAACGGCCCACCAAGUCUACGAUGGAUAGGGGUUCUGAGAGGAAGGUCCCCCACAUUGGAACUGAGACACGGUCCAAACUCCUACGGGAGGCAGCAGUGAGGAAUAUUGGUCAAUGGGCGAGAGCCUGAA
rnacentral:rRNA from 1 species